GUACACACUUUUCAUUGUGCUGUACCCAAUGGGAGUGUCAGGAGAACUGCUCACAAUAUAUGCAGCUCUGCCCUUUGUCAGACAAGCUGGCCUAUAUUCCAUCAGUUUACCCAACAAAUACAAUUUCUCUUUUGACUACUAUGCAUUCCUGAUUCUAAUAAUGAUCUCCUACAUUCCAAGUUAAAUCAGACAGGGUUGGACUUCUCCUCAUUGCAUGGCAUCAUCGGAAUGAAUCACCCUAACAAAGCGACAUGCUUGUGUCCCUCUGUGGAAAAUUGCAUUUCAUGCAUUGUGAGAAAAAAACUACAUCCAGAUUUCAUGUGAGUGUUUAUCUUGCAGAAAUUCUUGGAUACAGUUCUGCUUCAUGAUUCAUUUUCCACUCUUUAUUCAUGUUGAGUCCUCUCUAGUGCUGGAAUCAUAGCGACCAGAGGCCAUCUCUCUUCAAAUGUAAAAAGUGGUUGAUUUUCAAACAGAUGAUAAAUGUGAAAUCAUCUAAACUACUAAGUAAUAAAAAUUAACUGGUAGUUUA
rnacentral:lncRNA from 1 species